rnacentral:lncRNA from 14 species
AUGGAGAUCCCGGUAUUCCCCUGUGGAAUUCCUGGUCGUUCCCAGUGUGGAAUUCCCAGUAUUCCCCUGUGGAACUCCUGUUUAUUCCCGGUGCAGAAUUCCCCGUAUUCCCAGUGUGGAAUUCACAGUAUUCCCAGUGUGGAAUUCCUGUUCAUUCCCAGUGUGGAAUUUCCAGUAUUCCCUUGUGGAAUUCCUGUUCAUUCCCAGUGUGGAAUUCCCGGUGUUCCCAGUGUGGAAUUCCCCCUCAUUCCCAUGUGGAAUUCCCAGUAUUCUCUUAUGGAAUCCCCACUCAUUCCCAGUAUGAAAUUCCUGCUUAUUCCUGGUAUGGAGAUCCUGGUAUUCCCAGUGUGGAAUUCCCAGUAUUCCCCUGUGGAACUCCGGUUCAUUCCUGGUAUGGAAUUCCCCGUAUUCCUUUGUGGAAUUCCUGCUCAUUCCCGAUGCAGAAUUCCCAGUAUUCCCUUGUGGAAUUCCUGCUCAUUCCCAGUGUGGAAUUCCCAGUAUUCCCAGUGUGGAAUUCCUGUUCAUUCCUGGUAUGGAAUUCCUGGUAUUCCCAGUGUGGAAUUCCCCCUCAUUCCCAUGUGGAAUUCCCAGUAUUCCCUUAUGGAAUUCCCACUCAUUCCCAGUAUGAAAUUCCUGCUUAUUCCUGGUAUGGAGUUCCUGGUAUUCCCGGUGUGGAAUUCCCAGUAUUCCCCUGUGGAACUCCGGUUCAUUCCUGGUAUGGAAUUCCCCGUAUUCCCUUGUGGAAUUCCUGCUCAUUCCCGAUGCAGAAUUCCUGCUCAUUCCCCGUGUGGAAUUCCCACUAUUCCCAGUGUGGAAUUCCCAUUCAUUCCCAGUGCAGAAUUCCCAGUAUUCCCAGUGUGGAAUUCCCAGUAUUCCUAUGUGGAAUUCCUGCUCCUUCCUGGUGUGGAAUUCCCGCUCAUUCCCAGUAUGGAAUUCCUGCUUAUUCCUGGUAUGGAGAUCCCAGUAUUCCCAUGUGGAAUUCCCAGUGUUCCCAGUGUGGAAUUCCCAGUAUUCCCCUGUGGAACUCCUGUUCAUUCCCACUGCAGAAUUCCCAGUGUGGAAUUCCUGUUCAUUCCCAGUGUGGAAUUCCCAGUAUUCUCUUACAGAAUUCCCACUCAUUCCCAGUAUGAAAUUCCUGCUUAUUCCUGGUAUGGAGUUCCCGGUAUUCCCAGUGUGGAAUUCCCAGUAUUCCCCUGUGGAAUUCCUGCUCAUUCCCGGUGUGGAAUUCCUGAUAUUCCCAUGUGGAAUUCCUGA